rnacentral:misc_RNA from 1 species
AGGUGGUGACUUUAGAUCUGUUGCUUCAUCUGCUGAUGUUUUGGAGGUCUGCUUAGCGGUGAAGUUUGAGACACUGCUGUCACUACAAUACUAUCUUUGUCUUUUGGAGAUUGUGAAUAUAGAGUUAUAGGCCUAAUGCAAGGGCAACGGAGUGCAAUCGGAUCCCUGCCAGAAACUUUGGGUUUUACUCAUGGUUCAACAUCGAGUGAUGGUGGUAUAGAUCAGCAGAUAUGUUGGAAUAAUUUGCGAAAUCCUGCACAAAAUCGGCUACCAGAUUAUAUGGUACCUUCUAAUGAGACAACCAUACCAUUUCUUAGUCAUGCAAACCAAGAAAGGCAGAGUGUAAUUGGAUGGAAUUUAGGAGAAUCCAGCUCCUCCAAUACACAAAAUAGUGUUAGUCGUAGUGAAAAUACUACAAUGAGUGCCCGUCCUGGGCCUUCUCACUUCUCUGCUGAACAGCAUUAUGGGUCUUCCAAUAUUCUUUCAUUGGGUGAUGUUGAAAUAAAUUUGAAUAACCAGUUAGCUAACAACACUUUAUUUUCUCAAGCUUCUACGUCUAGCACUGUUCCAAAUGAACUAAGUAGAAGUGCUGGACAUGAGGGGCGUGAUGGCGAUGAAGAUGAUGAUGAUGACUGCGAAGUGAUGGAGUGCACCCCAACAUUCAAGUCUAAUGGACCUGGAAAAGAACGGAUGUCAACCGCCAGUACUUCUUCUGAUCCCCUUGCUGGGACUUCUGCAACUAAUGGGUUUCUGAGGGAUGAAAGUGAUGGCAGACCAGGCUGUACACUGGAUGGUCGACGCAUGGCUUGUAAGAGAAAAGCAGUUGAAGGACAUCUGGGACAAUCUUCGGGAAGUGGAAGUCCAGAUUAUCUUCUAAACAGCUUAUGGCGUUCUAUACCUGCUCCAAAUAAUCUGACUGCAGGUGCUAAUAGCUCUGCAUCAACAGAAAGUAGAAGAAACAUCAAUUUGCCAGCGCAGAUAAAUCCAAGACUUGGGCUCACUAUGGGUGGCACCACUAUGGAAGGUCCGGUUGCAUUGCCUGCUUCAAGGAGAGCAGAAAGUUACCGUAGAAAUUUCAGGCUUAGGAUCAAUGGCUCUCAUCAGCAAGUUCCUAUUCCUGGCAAUACGUUUCCUACUGUGGGUAAUGAUAGAAAUGUUACCAUGUCUGACUGGGACGCAUUGAGGCUGCCUUCUAAUCAGUCUUUGGAUUCGAGGUCUGUUUCUGCUGCAGAUAAUGUAAGUCCCCGAAGCCAGCCAGUUGUGGGGCCGGUUCCUUCUCUGCGACGAAAUGCACAGAGGUGGGAUUCAUCUAGUUCAAGAGCUGGCAGUCCAUCAAGUUAUUCUGUUUUUCUUGAGAGGAAUUCUGCAGCCUAUGAACAACCAAGCUCAAGAAGUGUGCCCAGAAACAUUUCGCAGCAUCCAAUGUUCAUACCCGCUAGUGACUUGAGAAAUUUGAACCAAAAUCCUGUCAACUGGGGUUUAGCUGGUGGAAAUAUUUCCAUUGCUGGAAAUGUUGCAUCUUCUUCUCGGAGUGGUCCUAGCUCAGUAGCCCCUUCCUCUUCUCCUGGUUGGGUGGAACAAAGAAAUCCUCAGCAAUAUCCUCGACGACUCUCAGAAUAUGUUCGUAGAUCUAUGUUGUCUUCAGCUGUCAGUGAACCUGGAAGUCACAAUGGUAACACUCCGCCACAUUUGAGUUCUGCUACCUCACAGGAGAUGGGGCUUUCUGGCCAUCCCGGGCAUCGUCCAUCAAGUUCAAGGUCAGCA